CCUGCCCAAUAGAAGCAUUGCAGUUGUAGCUGCUGUUUCACAUGUGCGUCAGUAGGUGGCAGAGAAGAGGCUAUGUCUACCUUCAGUGUUUUCACAUAUGGACAUUUGAAUGAUUAGUAACCUAACAUU